rnacentral:rRNA from 1 species
UUAGACCUCAGAUCAGGCAGGAUUACCCGCUGAACUUAAGCAUAUCAAUAAGCGGAGGAAAAGAAACUAACAAGGAUUCCCCUAGUAACGGCGAGUGAAGCGGGAAGAGCUCAAAUUUGUAAUCUGGCACUUUCAGUGUCCGAGUUGUAAUCUCGAGAAGUGUUUUCCGCGCCGGACCGCAUACAAGUCUGUUGGAAUACAGCGUCAUAGUGGUGAGAACCCCGUAACUGAUGCGGAUGCCCGGUGCUUUGUGAUACACUUUCGAAGAGUCGAGUUGUUUGGGAAUGCAGCUCAAAUUGGGUGGUAAAUUCCAUCUAAAGCUAAAUAUUGGCGAGAGACCGAUAGCGAACAAGUACCGUGAGGGAAAGAUGAAAAGCACUUUGGAAAGAGAGUUAACAGUACGUGAAAUUGUUGGAAGGGAAACGAUUGAAGUCAGACUUGUUAUCUGGAGUUCAGCCUUUCGGUGUACUCUCCAGUUUACAGGCCAGCAUCAGUUUUCGGGGCGGGAAAAUCGUAAUUAGAAGGUAGCAGCCUAGCUGUGUUAUAGCUUUUUACUGGAUUCCGCUUUGGGGACUGAGGAACGCAGUGUGCUUUUAGCAAUACCCUCGGGUAUU